UAGAGUGUUUAACUCCCUAUAAACCCCUGUGAACAUACCUAUCGUUGCUUCGGCGGAACGCCCCCGGGUACCCCCCGGGACCAAGGCGCCCGCCGAGGGAAUCUUAAACUCUUGUUUUUUCGAGAAUCUUCUGAGUAAAACAAAAAAUAAAUCA
rnacentral:misc_RNA from 1 species